rnacentral:rRNA from 1 species
CAAUUACCACUCCCAGAACGGGAGGUAGUGACGAAAAAUAACAAUACGGGACUCUUUUGAGACCCCGUAAUUGGAAUGAGUACACUCUAAAUCCUUUAACGAGGAUCCAUUGGAGGGCAAGUCUAGUGCCAGCAGCCGCGGUAAUUCUAGCUCCAAUAGCGUAUAUUAAAGUUGUUGCGGUUAAAAAGCUCGUAGUUGGAUCUCAGUUCCAGACGGGCGGUCCACUUACCGGUGGUUACUGCUUGUUCUGAACAGCCAGCCGGUUUCUCUUGAUGAUCUUCACCGGUUGUCUUGGGUGACCGGCAAGUUUACUUUGAAAAAAUUAGAGUGCUCAAAGCAGGCGCGACGCCUGAAUAAUGGUGCAUGGAAUAAUGGAAUAGGACCUCGGUUCUAUUUUGUUGGUUUUCGGAACACGAGGUAAUGAUUAAGAGGGACAGACGGGGGCAUUCGUAUUGCGACGCUAGAGGUGAAAUUCUUGGACCGUCGCAAGACGAACUACUGGCGAAAGCAUUUGCCAAGAAUGUUUCCAUUAAUCAAGAACGAAAGUUAGAGGUUCGAAGGCGAUCAGAUACCGCCCUAGUUCUAACCAUAAACGAUGCCAGCCAGCGAUCCGGCUGUGUUCCUCAAAUGACACGCCGGGCAGCUUCCGGGAAACCAAAGCUU